rnacentral:rRNA from 1 species
CCUACGGGAGGCAGCAGUGAGGAAUAUUGGUCAAUGGACGAAAGUCUGAACCAGCCAAGUCGCGUGAAGGAUGACUGCCCUAUGGGUUGUAAACUUCUUUUAUAAGGGAAUAAAAAGUGCCACGUGUGCCAUUAUGCCUGUACUUUAUGAAUAAGGAUCGGCUAACUCCGUGCCAGUAGCCGCGGUAAUACGGAGGAUCCGAGCGUUAUCCGGAUUUAUUGGGUUUAAAGGGAGCGGAGGGGGGUUUGUAAGUCAGGUGUGAAAGCGUGCGGGUGAACCGUUGAAUUGCAAUUGAUACUGGCAGUCUGGAGUGCAGUCGAGGUAGGCGGAAUUCGUGGUGUAGCGGUGAAAUGCUUAGAUAUCACGAAGAACCCCGAUUGCGAAGGCAGCUUACUAAACUGUGACUGACGCUGAUGCUCGAAAGCGUGGGUAGCAAACAGGAUUAGAUACCCUUGUAGUC